UACGGGAGGCAGCAGUGGGGAAUAUUGCACAAUGGGCGAAAGCCUGAUGCAGCUAUGCCGCGUGUAUGAAGAAGGCCUUAGGGUUGUAAAGUACUUUCAUCGGGGAGGAAAAACAAAACUAAUAAUUUUAUUUCUUGACGUUACCCGAAAAAGAAGCACCGGCUAACUCCGUGCCAGCAGCCGCGGUAAUACGGAGGGUGCUAGCGUUAAUCAGAAUUACUGGGCGUAAAGAGCACGUAGGUGGUUUUUUUAAGUCAGAUGUGAAAUCCCUGGGCUUAACCUAGGAACUGCAUUUUGAAACUGAAAUACUAGAGUAUCGUAGGGGAGGUAGAAUUCUAGGUGUAGCGGUGAAAUGCGUAGAUAUCUGGAGGAAUACCUGUGGCGAAAGCGGCCUCCUAAACGAAUACUGACACUGAGGGUGCGAAAGCGUGGGGAGCAAACGAGGGAUUAGGAUACC
rnacentral:rRNA from 1 species